rnacentral:sRNA from 1 species
GCUGGGUUUGGUGGCACAUGCCUGUAAUCCCAGCAGUUUGGGAGGCUGAGACAGGAGGAUCAGGAGUUCAAAGCCAGCCUCAGCAACAGGGAGGCGUUCAGCAACUCGGGGAGACCCUGUUUCUA